UCCUCACAACAAGCAUCACAUGCUGUCAUGAGCACUACAAAGAAGAGGGUGCAUGACGAAAUAGUGGAGCAGAACCAGAAGCAAAUUAAUCAUAGAAAAUCCAUUGAUACCUUUGGCUAGAGAACAUCUCAAUAUAGAGGUGUUACAAGGCAUAGGUGGACUGGUAGAUAUGAAGCUCAUCUAUGUUCAAACUGGUCCUUUUGAUGUCACUGAACUAUUUCUUUCAGGGUAUUGUGAGGCUCAAACCCUACUUGGACUUUCUUUCUGAGGUUGGCCCUUACAAGAUUAUGGAUGGAUUAUUGUGGCCAAUUUUAGAGGUAGUAACGUCGGCAUUGGAGGAGAUGAACUUGUCAGAGGACA